rnacentral:lncRNA from 10 species
AAAAGCGGGGGGUGGAAAUUUGGACACAGAGACAGACAUGCACACUGGGAAGCACACAUGCAGAGAAAACACCACAUGAAUAUUGGAGUUAUGCUGCCAUAAACCAAGGCAGUACCAGAAAUUAGAAGAGAGGCCUGGAAUAGAUCCUCACUAAGCACGUUCAUGGGGUGCAUGGCCCACCUGAAAGCAUGAUUUUGGGCUUCUAGCCCUCAGAACUGAGAUGAACAUAAGAAACAGCAUACACAAUACUGGACAUCACAGGACCCUCUCCGGCUGGAUACCAGGCUGUAGAACCACCAGAUGCUUCAGAUGAGAAAGGUUGGAUCUGUUUCACAGGGAAGGGGCUAAACUGUUUCAAGAGGCGACCACGCGCUGGGCACUCUGUACUUUGCAACCUACCAAGUAUCAUCACAAGAGCUAUGAAAGUGAAGAGAGACAUACGUUAUCUAAGAAUCUGAGAGAGAUGACUCAGUCAGCAUCCUCUCUCUUGGUGUACAAUGGUAGGGACAGCUACUGUGUCAUCUGGAGCAUGACAAUGAGAACACAGACACUGGAUCGUCCUGAUAUAGCCUGCAGUCCAUCUGGGCCUCUAGACAUUCAUUUGCAUUUGCAUUCAUGCGCAUCCCCUACUACUCCAACUCCUACACCUUUUGGCAGGAUAUAUCCACACAGCUGGAUUGGAAUCACAAGAUGUUUUUAUUUUUUGCCUCAUUAAACUAGUUUCUCUCAAGCAAUGUGUGUUUUCUUUAUAUUCCAG